AGAGUUUGAUCAUGGCUCAGGAUGAACGCUGGCGGCGUGCUUAACACAUGCAAGUCGAACGGAGUAGGUAGCAAUACUUACUCAGUGGCGGACGGGUGAGUAACGCGUGAACAAUCUGCCUAUGUCAGGGGAAUAACACUAAGAAAUUGGUGCUAAUACCGCAUAAGACCACAGAGGGGCAUCCCUCAGGGGUAAAAGAUUUAUCGGACAUAGAUGAGUUCGCGUCCCAUUAGGUAGUUGGUGAGGUAACGGCCCACCAAGCCGACGAUGGGUAGCCGACCUGAGAGGGUGAUCGGCCACAUUGGGACUGAGACACGGCCCAGACUCCUACGGGAGGCAGCAGUGGGGGAUAUUGCACAAUGGGGGAAACCCUGAUGCAGCAACGCCGCGUGAAGGAAGAAGGUCUUCGGAUUGUAAACUUCUGUCCUCAGGGAAGAUAAUGACGGUACCCGAGGAGGAAGCUCCGG
rnacentral:rRNA from 1 species